AAUGUGCGGGAUUUUCCACAAAAAAACGUGGGAAAUGCCAAUAGAGAUGUCAAACUUAUGAGUUCUCU
ensembl:ncRNA Y97E10AM.2 ncRNA